UACAGAGGUGGCAAGCGUUGUUCGGAAUUACUGGGCGUAAAGGGCGCGUAGGCGGCCGCCUAAGUCAGACGUGAAAUCCCCAGGCUUAACUUGGGAACUGCGUCUGAUACUGGGUGGCUCGAGUUCGGGAGAGGAAUGUGGAAUUCCAGGUGUAGCGGUGAAAUGCGUAGAUAUCUGGAGGAACACCGGUGGCGAAGGCGGCAUUCUGGACCGAAACUGACGCUGAGGCGCGAAAGCCAGGGGAGCAAACGGG
rnacentral:rRNA from 1 species